AAUGGUUGUCACAACAUCGUCUUCCUCACCCACUAAUGCUUUGCUUUCAUCUUCAGUUUAUGUGGGCAUCAGAUUUAGGCCGUUGACUAGUAAUCAAGCCGAUGUCGUAACACGGCUUUCGCCGAGCAGCGAUCCCAUGUGUUUGAAUACGAAUCACCUUCCCAAUUUACAAGCCUAGUGAACUACAGUUCUGAAUGCCAAUAUCGUCCCUACCGAAAACCCAGUUACUACAACCUCUGGUCCUGGAAAUAAGAAGGAGAUCUAGGCACGCCAAAAAUCCUCUCUGAGCCGUGUCCUUCAUGGGCCGAUUGAUCGAUGGAAGAAGCAGAAAGCGCCAUCACGGGGACAACAGCGGCAGAGCUAAGUUCUUGAAGCUCUUCCCUUCAAUACUUUCAAAUCGCUAGAGGCAAAAAUUCCUCAUCCCCAAUCAUCCACUUUGGACAAUCAUGUUGGCAUUAAGCUUGGUGACGUUACCACUAUGGAGGCAAAUUCGGAAGGUGACUCUAGUGGUACCAUCGAAAAGGAGGUUGAAGGAUUACACCUCCCUGUGAAGAAGUCCUCUCAACGGACGAUUGGAGGCCAAAGUUUUUAUCAAGCCUUUGCUAAUUGAUUUGUCAAGG
rnacentral:lncRNA from 1 species